AGAGAGUGCAAGCGUUAAUCGGAAUUACUGGGCGUAAAGCGCACGUAGGUGGAUAUUUUAGUCGGGUGUGAAAGCCCCGGGCUUAACCCGGGAACUGCAUUCGAUACUGAAUAUCUAGAGUAUAGUAGAGGGAAGUGGAAUUUCCGGUGUAGCGGUGAAAUGCGUAGAUAUCGGAAAGAACACCAGUGGCGAAGGCGGCUUCCUGGACUAAUACUGACACUGAGGUGCGAAAGCGUGGGGAGCAAACAGGAUUAGAGACCCUGGUAGUCCACGCCGUCAACGAUGAGAACUAGACGUUGGGAGGCUUGCCUCUUAGUGUCGAAGCUAACGCGUUAAGUUCUCCGCCUGGGGAGUACGGCCGCAAGGUUA
rnacentral:rRNA from 1 species